rnacentral:rRNA from 1 species
AUUGAACGCUGGCGGCAGGCUUAACACAUGCAAGUCGAGCGAGCGGCGGACGGGUGAGUAACGUCUGGGAAACUGCCUGAUGGAGGGGGAUAACUACUGGAAACGGUAGCUAAUACCGCAUACCAUCAGAUGUGCCCAGAUGGGAGUAGCUAGUAGGUGGGGGAAUGGCUCACCGAGGCGACGAUCCCUAGCUGGUCUGAGGGGAUGACCGGCCACACUGGACAGGAGACACGGUACAGAGUCCAGCGGGAGUAAGCAGUGGGGAAUAUUGCACAAGGGGGACAAGCCUGAUGCAGCCAUGCCGCGUGUGUGAGGAAGGCCUUCGGGUUGUAAGGCACUUUCAGCGAGGAGGCGUUACUCGCAGAAGAAGCACCGGCUAACUCCGUGCCAGCAGCCGCGGUAAUUC